rnacentral:rRNA from 1 species
UACGUAGGGUGCGAGCGUUAAUCGGAAUUACUGGGCGUAAAGCGUGCGUAGGCGGUUCGUUAAGUGCGUCGUGAAAGCCCCGGGCUCAACCUGGGAAUGGCGAUGGAAACUGGCGGGCUGGAGUAUGGCAGAGGGGGGUGGAAUUCCGCGUGUAGCAGUGAAAUGCGUAGAGAUGCGGAGGAACACCGAUGGCGAAGGCGGCGACCUGGGACAAUACUGACGCUGAGGUGCGAAAGCGUGGGGAGCAAACAGG